GAGACUUUGCAUGGUGAUAUGGUUGCUCCUAGUAUAUCUGCAGCAGAUGAACAGAGAGAACGAAUGAAAGCUAGCAGAUUUAAGGUCCUUGAGAAAGAUGCAGCUAGGCGCCGCCAAUUGCAGGUGGCUUGAGGUUCUGUUUUUCUUCUGUCGUGUUCUAAAUUAUGUUUCAUUGUGUUGAGCUGUGGAUGGCAAUUGAACUCAUGGAUAUAGGCAUCAAGGCAGAACCUUCUGUCUUGAUAUUCUUUCUUUGUACAACAAAGUUUUUUUGUCAUAUUUACACAACUCGAUCUCUUUAAUAGUUGAUCCAUUACCAAUA